rnacentral:rRNA from 1 species
CCUACGGGUGGCUGCAGUGGGGAAUAUUGGACAAUGGGGGGAACCCUGAUCCAGCCAUGCCGCGUGUGUGAAGAAGGCCCUCGGGUUGUAAAGCACUUUCAGUGGGGAAGAACGCCUGGUGGUUAAUACCCAUCAGGAAAGACAUCACUCACAGAAGAAGCACCGGCUAACUCCGUGCCAGCAGCCGCGGUAAUACGGAGGGUGCGAGCGUUAAUCGGAAUUACUGGGCGUAAAGCGCGCGUAGGUGGCUUGAUAAGCCGGUUGUGAAAGCCCCGGGCUCAACCUGGGAACGGCAUCCGGAACUGUCAAGCUAGAGUGCAGGAGAGGAAGGUAGAAUUCCCGGUGUAGCGGUGAAAUGCGUAGAGAUCGGGAGGAAUACCAGUGGCGAAGGCGGCCUUCUGGACUGACACUGACACUGAGGUGCGAAAGCGUGGGUAGCAAACAGGAUUAGAUACCCGAGUAGUC